UACGUAGGGGGCAAGCGUUAUCCGGAUUUAUUGGGCGUAAAGAGCUCGUAGGCGGCCGUUCGCGUCGGGUGUGAAAGCCCGGGGCUCAACCCCGGAACGGCAUCCGAUACUGGCGGGCUUGAGACCGGGAGAGGAGGGUGGAAUACCCAGUGUAGAGGUGAAAUUCGUAGAUAUUGGGUGGAACACCGGUGGCGAAAGCGGCUCUCUGGCCCGGAUCUGACGCUGAGGCGCGAAAGCGUGGGGAGCAAACAGG
rnacentral:rRNA from 1 species